rnacentral:rRNA from 1 species
GACGAACGCUGGCGGCGUGCUUAACACAUGCAAGUCGAACGAUGAAGCCGGAGCUUGCUCUGGUGAAUUAGUGGCGAACGGGUGAGUAACACGUGAGUAACCUGCCCUUGACUCUGGGAUAACUGCGGGAAACUGUAGCUAAUACCGGAUACGACCCUCGGAGGCAUCUCCUGGGGGUGGAAAGAAUUUCGGUCAAGGAUGGACUCGCGGCCUAUCAGCUAGUUGGUGAGGUAAAGGCUCACCAAGGCGACGACGGGUAGCCGGCCUGAGAGGGUGACCGGCCACACUGGGACUGAGACACGGCCCAGACGCCUACGGGAGGCAGCAGUGGGGAAUAUUGCACAAUGGGCGCAAGCCUGAUGCAGCAACGCCGCGUGAGGGAUGACGGUCUUCGGGUUGUAAACCUCUUUUAGCAGGGAAGAAGCGAAAGCGACGGUACCUGCAGAAAAAGCACCGGCUAACUACGUGCCAGCAGCCGCAGUAA